rnacentral:rRNA from 1 species
AUACGUAGGUGGCAAGCGUUGUCCGGAAUUAUUGGGCGUAAAGCGCGCGCAGGCGGUCCUUUAAGUCUGAUGUGAAAGCCCACGGCUCAACCGUGGAGGGUCAUUGGAAACUGGGGGACUUGAGUGCAGAAGAGGAAAGUGGAAUUCCAAGUGUAGCGGUGAAAUGCGUAGAGAUUUGGAGGAACACCAGUGGCGAAGGCGACUUUCUGGUCUGUAACUGACGCUGAGGCGCGAAAGCGUGGGGAGCAAACAGGAUUAGAUACCCUGGUAGUCCACGCCGUAAACGAUGAGAGCUAAGUGUUAGGGGGUUUCCGCCCCUCAGUGCUGCAGCUAACGCAUUAAGCACUCCGCCUGGGGAGUACGGUCGCAAGACUGAAACUCAAAGGAAUUGACGGGG